ACUCAAAUGAAUUGACGGGGACUCGCACAAGCAGUGGAUUAUGUGGCUUAAUUCGAUGUCAAACGAAGAACCUUACCAAGGUUAGAAAUGCUACUGCAUCUCUGGUGAAAGCCGGAGAGCCUUCGAGGGUGUAGCACAGGUGAUGCAUGGCCGUCGUCAGUUCGUGGUUUGAACUGUUCCCUUCAGUGGGGUAACGAACGCAACCCCCGUUGUCUGUUGCCUAUAUGGCCAGGCGAGACUGCUCCCUCACGGGAGAGGAAGGUGGGGAUGACGCCAGGUCAGCAUGUCCCUCUGAUACCUUGGGCCGCACACAUAAUACAAUGGCCGGUACAACGGGUUGCAAUGCCGUAAGGCGGAGCUAAUCCUUAUAAAACCGGCCCCAGUACGGAUUGAGGUCUGCAACCGACCUCAUGAAGCCGGAAUUGCUAGUAAUCGCAGGUCAGCUAAACUGCGGUGAAUACGUUCUCGAGUCUUGUACACACCGCCCGU
rnacentral:rRNA from 1 species